GACGUAGGGUCCAAGCGUUGUCCGGAUUUACUGGGCGUAAAGAGCGCGUAGGCGGUCCGUUAAGUGUGAAGUGAAAUCUCCAGAGCUCAACUCGGAAACUGCUUCGCAUACUGGCGGACUUGAGGAAUGCAGAGGUGAAUAGAAUUCCUGGUGUAGCGGUGAAAUUCGUAGAUAUUAGGAAGAACACCAGUGGCGAAGGCGGCUCACUGGUCCGGUACUGACGCUGAGGUGCGAAAGCGUGGGGAGCAAACAGG
rnacentral:rRNA from 1 species